rnacentral:rRNA from 1 species
UACAGAGGGGGCGAGCGUUAUUCGGAAUUAUUGGGCGUAAAGAGCUCGUAGGCGGUUCGGCAAGUCGGAUGUGAAAUCUCCACGCUUAACGUGGAGGGGCCAUUCGAAACUGCCGUGACUCGAGUCCGGUAGGGGAGUUCGGAAUUCCUGGUGUAGCGGUGAAAUGCGCAGAUAUCAGGAAGAACACCCGUGGCGAAGGCGGUUCUCUGGGACGGUACUGACGCUGAGACGCGAAAGCGUGGGGAGCGAACAGG